CAUAUUUUUGUAGAUAAAAUUUGCAAGUUAUGGAGGCUUUGCUCUAAAAAACACCUUGACAUUGAUGAGUAUAGUAGUAAAUGGUCCAUCGGCACCUUUCUUUGCACUUAUCAAGGUGGCUAUGUUACCCACACGAUGUAUGUUAACAUUCAGGACAGGGGAGCAAGUCAAGUGGAAGGAAGUCAUGAAAAUGGGAUUUACCAGCAAAAGGUGGAGGUGGAGGGGGGCCAGGACCCUUUUUGAGUGGCAUUGCAGUUGGCAUUGAUCCUUUUGUAGGCAUGACAGGUGGUGGUGGUGGUGAUUGCAAUAAUUCUUUGGAAAGCGAGGCUGGCAGUGGAGGAGCACUUUUUGGGAUGUCAGUUUCACCGGUUGUAUCUUGUUGUUUCUCAUGAUCAUUCUCAUUCACAUUGGGGAAUGGAACCUUCGUGUUUUUGCUUGUCUGCAAGUGACAUUCAAUUAUGCCAGUGUUUGCUGCUCUCACUUCUUCUUUGCUCUGUGGCUUCAGUUUCUCGACUGUUUCAUUCUUUUGUUUCAAGUUGCUAGAGUUCUGACAAAACUGAACUCCAGGAGACGGAUGACCAGGUGGAGACUUGGAAAUAUUUGGAGUUACUCCAGUACGAGCAUCAUUUUUGACAGCAAGAGAAAUAGAUUUGUUGCUGGUAUAGGACUCUGUUGAUUUGCUGGCUUGUUGGCUGUAGUCUUCAUUCAACCCUUCAUCUUCUAGCCUAUCAAACAGUUCUGCUGCUGCCUUAAUCACAGAGUCAAGUGUUGCAAACACUACCAUAUCAACUUCAACAAAGAAAAAUAAAAUACAGUGAGCUUCAAUCAAGAACAAGGAACACAUUAGAUUAAUAAGAGCUAAGAGAAGGAAAUUGCAUACCGA